rnacentral:rRNA from 1 species
UAGGGAAUCUUCCACAAUGGACGCAAGUCUGAUGGAGCAACGCCGCGUGAGUGAAGAAGGUUUUCGGAUCGUAAAGCUCUGUUGUUGGUGAAGAAGGAUAGAGGUAGUAACUGGCCUUUAUUUGACGGUAAUCAGCCAGAAAGUCACGGCUAACUACGUGCCAGCAGCCGCGGUAAUACGUAGGUGGCAAGCGUUGUCCGGAUUUAUUGGGCGUAAAGCGAGCGCAGGCGGAAGAAUAAGUCUGAUGUGAAAGCCCUCGGCUUAACCGAGGAACUGCAUCGGAAACUGUUUUCUUGAGUGCAGAAGAGGAGAGUGGAACUCCAUGUGUAGCGGUGGAAUGCGUAGAUAUAUGGAAGAACACCAGUGGCGAAGGCGGCUCUCUGGUCUGCAACUGACGCUGAGGCUCGAAAAGCAUGGGUAGUGAACAGGAUUAGAUACCCUGGUAGUCCAUGCCGUAAACGAUGAGUGCUAAGUG